UACGUAGGGUGCAAGCGUUAAUCGGAAUUACUGGGCGUAAAGCGUGCGCAGGCGGUUCUAUACGACAGAUGUGAAAUCCCCGGGCUCAACCUGGGAACUGCAUUUGUGACUGUAGAGCUGGAGUACGGUAGAGGGGGAUGGAAUUCCGCGUGUAGCAGUGAAAUGCGUAGAUAUGCGGAGGAACACCGAUGGCGAAGGCAAUCCCCUGGACUGACACUGACGCUCAGGCACGAAAGCGUGGGGAGCAAACAGG
rnacentral:rRNA from 1 species